GGCCUCCUGGUGCUUACCGCAGGCUGUGGUUCUUACAAUGACCAAAUAUAAAGAAGAGACAAAGCAAAUCUACCCCAUAUACACCUCAGCCCAGGCCCUGUGCCUGGUCUGUAUUAUGAAUGGCUUGAGACAUGG
rnacentral:snoRNA from 1 species